UAACUGGAGGGCUUUCUCCUGUCCUUGC
rnacentral:sRNA from 1 species